GACGAACGCUGGCGGCGUGCUUAACACAUGCAAGUCGAACGAAGAGCGAUGGAAGCUUGCUUCUAUCAAUCUUAGUGGCGAACGGGUGAGUAACGCGUAAUCAACCUGCCCUUCAGAGGGGGACAACAGUUGGAAACGACUGCUAAUACCGCAUACGAUCUAAUCUCGGCAUCGAGGAUAGAUGAAAGGUGGCCUCUACAUGUAAGCUAUCACUGAAGGGGGGGAUUGCGUCUGAUUAGCUAGUUGGAGGGGUAACGGCCCACCAAGGCGAUGAUCAGUAGCCGGUCUGAGAGGAUGAACGGCCACAUUGGGACUGAGACACGGCCCAGACUCCUACGGGAGGCAGCAGUGGGGAAUCUUCCGCAAUAGACGAAAGUCUGACGGAGCAACGCCGCGUGAGUGAUGACGGCCUUCGGGUUGUAAAGCUCUGUUAAUCGGGACGAAAGGCCUUCUUGCGAAUAGUGAGAAGGAUUGACGGUACCGGAAUAGAAAGCCACGGCUAACUACGUG
rnacentral:rRNA from 1 species